rnacentral:rRNA from 1 species
CCUACGGGGGGCAGCAGUGGGGGAUAUUGCACAAUGGGGGAAACCCUGAUGCAGCGACGCCGCGUGUGGGAAGACGGUCCUCUGGAUUGUAAACCACUGUCCCCAGGGACGAAGAUGACGGUACCUGGGGAGGAAGCUCCGGCUAACUACGUGCCAGCAGCCGCGGUAAUACGUAGGUGGCAAGCGUUGUCCGGAUUUACUGGGUGUAAAGGGCGUGCAGCCGGGCUGACAAGUCAGAUGUGAAAUCCCGCGGCUCAACCGCGGAACUGCAUUUGAAACUGUCAGUCUUGAGUACCGGAGAGGUC